CAUCUUUUUGCAUUGUGGAGGUGGAUUACAAGGGCCGAACCUUUCUGGCUCUGCACUCAAAACAACGUCCUCUUCCUCGGAGGAAAUGGGUAGUGCUAAAAUUUGCCACUAUUCUAACAGAAAUAGACGAUCAAUCAUUUCCUUGCUGUUUCUCUUGCUUUCAAGCUCGACCCUACUGAGAUUUGUAGCUGACGGAAGAGCAAUUAGCAAGCUAUUAGAGGCUGCGCAGAGAGAAGGGGACGAUGAGAAGGUGGUGGUGAUGAGAACUCAGGUAAUCGGAUCAACACCACCAAGGUGCGAGGGAAUGUGCAGCACUUGCGGGCACUGCGAGGCAGUUCAAGUCCCAGUAACAACACAAGUCCAUGAGCACAGCAGAACUCAUUUAUCUGCUGCCCCGAUUUCUAAUAUUGCGUCCUCUAGGGGUGAUGAUGUCUCCAAUUACAAG
rnacentral:misc_RNA from 1 species